rnacentral:rRNA from 1 species
CCUACGGGUGGCAGCAGUGGGGAAUUUUGGACAAUGGGCGCAAGCCUGAUCCAGCCAUGCCGCGUGUCUGAAGAAGGCCUUCGGGUUGUAAAGGACUUUUGUCAGGGAAGAAAAGGCUGUUGCUAAUAUCGACAGUUGAUGACGGUACCUGAAGAAUAAGCACCGGCUAACUACGUGCCAGCAGCCGCGGUAAUACGUAGGGUGCGAGCGUUAAUCGGAAUUACUGGGCGUAAAGCGAGCGCAGACGGUUACUUAAGCAGGAUGUGAAAUCCCCGGGCUCAACCUGGGAACUGCGUUCUGAACUGGGUGACUAGAGUGUGUCAGAGGGAGGUAGAAUUCCACGUGUAGCAGUGAAAUGCGUAGAGAUGUGGAGGAAUACCGAUGGCGAAGGCAGCCUCCUGGGAUAACACUGACGUUCAUGCUCGAAAGCGUGGGUAGCAAACAGGAUUAGAUACCCCAGUAGUC